rnacentral:rRNA from 1 species
GUGGGGAAUAUUGGACAAUGGGCGAAAGCCUGAUCCAGCCAUGCCGCGUGUGUGAAGAAGGUCUUCGGAUUGUAAAGCACUUUAAGUUGGGAGGAAGGGCAGUAAGUUAAUACCUUGCUGUUUUGACGUUACCGACAGAAUAAGCACCGGCUAACUUCGUGCCAGCAGCCGCGGUAAUACGAAGGGUGCAAGCGUUAAUCGGAAUUACUGGGCGUAAAGCGCGCGUAGGUGGUUUUGUAAGUUGGAGGUGAAAUCCCCGGGCUCAACCUGGGAACUGCCUCCAAAACUGCAUGACUAGAGUACGGUAGAGGGUAGUGGAAGUUCCUGUGUAGCGGUGAAAUGCGUAGAUAUAGGAAGGAACACCAGUGGCGAAGGCGACUACCUGGACUGAUACUGACACUGAGGUGCGAAAGCGUGGGGAGCAAACAGGAUUAGAUACCCGAGUAGUCC